CCAGUGCAUCCGAGGACGGUGCACGGUCAGGAGAGGCCGCAUAAGCAUAUUGCGAUGACGAAUACCCCGAUGACGUUGGUGUGCCCUUAGCUGCGUGUACUCAUCCUUCCGCUUCCUCAAGCACACACGAACCACAUAUUGGUGACUAUGGCGAGCAAGAUGCCGUUCUCCUGUAGAAGAGAUCACCAGUGCAUUCGAGGACGAUGCACGGUCAGGAGAGGCCGUAUAAGCAUAUUGCGAUGACGAAUACGCCGAUGAUGUUGGUGAGCCUUCAGCUGCGUGUACUGAUCCUUCUGCUUCCUCAAGCACACACGAACCACAUAUUUUUGACUAUGGCGAGCAAGAUGCCGUUCUCCUGUAGAAGAAA